rnacentral:tRNA from 1 species
UGGGAAAUAGCUCAGUGGUAGAGUGCAUGCUUAGCACGCACGAGGUCCUGGGUUCAAUCCCCAGUAUCUCCA